rnacentral:misc_RNA from 1 species
AACGCACGAGACCUGCGGACCUGCGGAAGGAUCAUUACUGAAGUGCUUGGAGAUGUUGCUGGCUUCUUCUAGAAGCAAUGUGCACUCUUCCAACUAUUCAAAAUUUCCUACACACCCCCCUUGUGCACUCUCUGUAGGGUACUCCCUCCCAGGGGAAGACUCUAUGUUGUUUUGCUAUCCUUCACACCUCAUAGAAUGUAUGGUGAUGAUGAAUACAAAAAAUUGUAACAACUUUUAGCA